rnacentral:rRNA from 1 species
CCCUUAGAUGUUCUGGGCCGCACGCGUGCUACACUGAGUGGAUCAGCGGGUCAGGUUGCGCGAAAGCGUUUCCUAAUCUUUAAAUCCGCUCGUGAUGGGGAUUGACGGUUGCAAUUUUCUGUCAUGAACGAGGAAUACCUUGUAAGCGCGGGUCAUCAUCCCGCGCUGAAUACGUCCCUGCCCUUUGUACACACCGCCCGUCGCUCCUACCGAUUGGGUGUGCUGGUGAAAUGUUCGGAUCGGCCGUUUGUCGCGGUUUCCGCGUCAUGUGGCUGAGAAGUUCAUUAAACCCUCCCACCGAGAGGAAGGAGAAGUCGUAACA